UGGGGAAUAUUGCACAAUGGAGGGAACUCUGAUGCAGCGACGCCGCGUGAACGAAGAAGGCUUUCGAGUCGUAAAGUUCUUUUAUAUGGGAAGAUAAUGACGGUACCAUAAGAAGAAGCCCCGGCUAACUACGUGCCAGCAGCCGCGGUAAUACGUAGGGGGCUAGCGUUGUCCGGAAUCACUGGGCGUAAAGGGUUCGCAGGCGGAAAUGCAAGUCAGGUGUAAAAGGCAGUAGCUUAACUACUGUAAGCAUUUGAAACUGCAUAUCUUGAGAAGAGUAGAGGUAAGUGGAAUUUUUGGUGUGUCGGUGAAAUGCGUAAAUAUUAAAAAGAAUGCCGGUGGCGAAGGCGACUUACUGAGCUCAUUCUGACGCUGAGGAACGAAAGCGUGGGUAGCAAACAGG
rnacentral:rRNA from 1 species